rnacentral:lncRNA from 1 species
GUAAAUGUCGCCGCGGCAGGUGCCCACCAUGGAAGCUUCUCAGCCCACGCAGCCCAUGGAAGACUCGGCUAGCUUAAGACUACAACUGAAACAGGAGAGGGAGGAGCAUGCGAAGGCCUUGGAGGAGGCAGCGGCAGCGGACCGCAAACGGCUGGACGAGGCUGCAGCGGUGGAGCGGCGGCGAUUAGACACAGAUGCGGCUGCUGAGCGGAGCCGCCUGGAUGAAGAGGCAGCUUCACUGCGGGCUCGCUUGGAUGGUGAGGGCGCGGAAGAGCGGCGGCGGAUGGCAGAAGCGGCCGCGGAGGAGGCGGGGGCAGUUCGAAAGCGCCUGGACGAGGACACUGCAGCGGUGAGGGCGCAGUUGGAUGAGGAAGCGGCAGCGGUUCGGAAACGCAAAGACGAGGAGGCGGCGGCGGAGCGCAAGCAGCUUGACGAGGCGGCUGCCGUGGUACGGAAGCAGUUUGAUGAUGAAGCGGUGGCGGAGCGCACACGGCUAGAUGCAGAAGCGGCGGCGGAGCGCACGCGGCGAGAUGCAGAGGUGGCGGCGGAGCGCAAGCAGCUUGACGAGGCGGCUGCCGUGGUACGGAAGCAGUUCGAUGACGAGGCGGUGGCGGAGCGCAUGCGGCUAGAUGCAGAAGCGGUGGUGGAGCGCACACGGCUAGAUGUGGAGGCGGCGGCGGAGCGCAAGCAGCUUGACGAGGCGGCUGCCGUGGUACGGAAGCAGCUCGAUGACGAGGCGGCGGUGGAGCGCACACGGCUAGAUGCAGAGGCCGUGGCUCGGAGGAUGCAGCUUGACGAGGCGGCAGCAGAGGAGCGGCGGCGUCUGGAUGAGCAGGCCGCAGAGGAGAGGCGGCAUCUGAACGACCUGGUAGGUGCGCUGCAGCCUCAGCUGGAGAACCUGAUGGCCAGGUUGGCGGCUGGAGGCCCGUCCUCUAGGGCGGCGCUUGCCGCUACAGCGCCCCAGAGCACUGGCAUGUUGAUCGGGCCAGUGCAGCCGUCUGCAGCAGUGGGUGUGGCUGCAGCAGUGGAGUUAUCGCCAGUGGCGUCCAUGCCGGCAGCACUGCCAGCGGCGACCGUACUUGCUGAUAAUCUGGAAGAAUUGGGACCUCAGGCCACUACAGCUGCUGCUGCUGCUACUACCGUGUCAGACAAAGCGGCGGCGGCAGCGGCAGCAGCAGUGGAACAGGAGCGGCGGCAGCUUGAGGAACAGGAGCGAAGGCGGCUUCAGGAUGCAAAGGCUGCGACG